rnacentral:rRNA from 1 species
UACAGAGGUGGCAAGCGUUGUUCGGAAUUACUGGGCGUAAAGGGCGCGUAGGCGGCCUACUAAGUCAGACGUGAAAUCCACCGGCUUAACCUGGGAACUGCGUCUGAUACUGGAAGGCUUGAGGAUGGGAGAGGGAUGUAGAAUUCCAGGUGUAGCGGUGAAAUGCGUAGAUAUCUGGAGGAAUACCGGUGGCGAAGGCGGCAUCCUGGACCAUUACUGACGCUGAGGCGCGAAAGCUAGGGGAGCAAACGGG